UACAGAGGUCUCAAGCGUUGUUCGGAUUCAUUGGGCGUAAAGGGUGUGUAGGUGGCGCCGUAAGUCGGGUGUGAAAUUUCGGAGCUUAACUCCGAAACUGCAUUCGAUACUGCGGUGCUUGAGGACUUGGAGAGGAGACUGGAAUUCAUGGUGUAGCAGUGAAAAUGCGUAGAGAUCAUGAGGAAGACCAGUGGCGAAAGGCGGGUCUCUGGACAGUUCCUGACACUGAGACACGAAGGCCAGGGGAGCAAACGGGG
rnacentral:rRNA from 1 species